UUGGUUUGGUAACGUCAGCUAACGUUAGCAGCAGCAGCAGGCCGAUCGGUCGCUCCGCUCCCACUGUAGGAAGACUUAUUUACC